AGCGGACGACCUGGGUUUCAAACCCCGGACCGCGCAAGCGCUUUUCCCUUAGUCUGUCUCCCGGUUCUCUUCAUUAAGAUUGAAACAUCACAACUCC